AAGACCUUGCGCUUUUGGAGCGGCCGAUGCCUGAUUAGCUAGUUGGUGAGGUAAUGGCUCACCAAGGCGUCGAUCAGUAGUUGGUCUGAGAGGACGACCAGCCACACUGGGACUGAGACACGGCCCAGACUCCUACGGGAGGCAGCAGUGGGGAAUUUUGGACAAUGGGCGCAAGCCUGAUCCAGCCAUGCCGCGUGAGUGAAGAAGGCCUUCGGGUUGUAAAGCUCUUUCAGUCGAGAAGAAAAGGUCACGGCUAAUAAUCGYGAUCCAUGACGGUAUCGACAGAAGAAGCACCGGCUAACUACGUGCCAGCAGCCGCGGUAAUACGUAGGGUGCGAGCGUUAAUCGGAAUUACUGGGCGUAAAGGGUGCGCAGGCGGCUUUGUAAGUCAGAUGUGAAAUCCCCGGGCUUAACCUGGGAACU
rnacentral:rRNA from 1 species